rnacentral:rRNA from 1 species
GACGUAGGGUGCAAGCGUUGUCCGGAAUUAUUGGGCGUAAAGAGCUCGUAGGCGGUUUGUUGCGUCUAUCGUGAAAACCUGCAGCUUAACUGUGGGCUUGCGGUGGAUACGGGCAGACUUGAGUUCGGUAGGGGAGACUGGAAUUCCUGGUGUAGCGGUGAAAUGCGCAGAUAUCAGGAGGAACACCGGUGGCGAAGGCGGGUCUCUGGGCCGAUACUGACGCUGAGGAGCGAAAGCGUGGGGAGCGAACAGG